rnacentral:rRNA from 1 species
GACGAACGCUGGCGGCGUGCUUAACACAUGCAAGUCGAACGGAAAGGCCCUGCUUUUGUGGGGUGCUCGAGUGGCGAACGGGUGAGUAACACGUGAGUAACCUGCCCUUGACUUUGGGAUAACUUCAGGAAACUGGGGCUAAUACCGGAUAGGAGCUCCUGCUGCAUGGUGGGGGUUGGAAAGUUUCGGCGGUUGGGGAUGGACUCGCGGCUUAUCAGCUUGUUGGUGGGGUAGUGGCUUACCAAGGCUUUGACGGGUAGCCGGCCUGAGAGGGUGACCGGCCACAUUGGGACUGAGGUACGGCCCAGACUCCUUCGGGAGGAAGGAGGGGGGAAUAUUGCACAAUGGGCGGAAGCCUGAUGCAGCAACGCCGCGUGCGGGAUGACGGCCUUCGGGUUGUAAACCGCUUUCGCCUGUGACGAAGCGUGAGUGACGGUAAUGGGUAAAGAAGCACCGGCUAACUACGUG